CGUGUAGGCGGUUAUGUAAGUCAGAUGUGAAAUCCUUCCGCUUAACGGAAGAAGUGCAUUUGAAACUACAUGACUGGAGUACGGGAGAGGAGAGUGGAAUUCCCGGUGUAGAGGUGAAAUUCGUAGAUAUCGGGAGGAACACCAGUGGCGAAGGCGGCUCUCUGGCCUGAUACUGACGCUGAGACGCGAAAGCGUGGGGAGCAAACAGGAUUAGAUACCCUGGUAGUCCACGCCGUAAACGAUGGGCACUAGGUGUAGGAGGUAUUGACCCCUUCUGUGCCGAAGCUAACGCAUUAAGUGCCCCGCCUGGGGAGUACGGCCGCAAGGUUAAA
rnacentral:rRNA from 1 species